CGGACCGGCGGACGGGUGCGUAACGCGUAUGUAACCUACCUUUGACAGGGGGAUAACAUCGAGAAAUUGGUACUAAUACCCCAUAACAUCACCGGAGGCAUCUUCGGUGGUUGAAAACUCAGGUGGUCAGAGAUGGACAUGCGUUGUAUUAGCUAGUUGGUGAGGUAACGGCUCACCAAGGCGACGAUACAUAGGGGGACUGAGAGGUCAGCCCCCCACAUUGGUACUGAGACACGGACCAAACUCCUACGGGAGGCAGCAG
rnacentral:rRNA from 1 species